AGAUGAGGAGCUUGCUCUUCAAAUCGAGUGGCGAACGGGUGAGUAACGCGUGAGGAACCUGCCUCAAAGAGGGGGACAACAGUUGGAAACGACUGCUAAUACCGCAUAAGCCCACGGCUCGGCAUCGAGCAGAGGGAAAAGGAGCAAUCCGCUUUGAGAUGGCCUCGCGUCCGAUUAGCUAGUUGGUGAGGUAACGGCCCACCAAGGCGACGAUCGGUAGCCGGACUGAGAGGUUGAACGGCCACAUUGGGACUGAGACACGGCCCAGACUCCUACGGGAGGCAGCAGUGGGGAAUAUUGCACAAUGGGGGAAACCCUGAUGCAGCGACGCCGCGUGGAGGAAGAAGGUCUUCGGAUUGUAAACUCCUGUUGUUGAGGAAGAUAAUGACGAUACUCAACAAGGAAGUGACGGCUAACUACGUGCCAGCAGCCGCGGUAAAACGUAGGUCACAAGCGUUGUCCGGAAUUACUGGGUGUAAGGGGAGCGCAGGCGGGAGAACAAGUUGGAAGUGAAAUCCAUGGGCUCAACCCAUGAACUGCUUUCAAAACUGUUUUUCUUGAGUAGUGCAGAGGUAGGCGGAAUUCCCGGUGUAGCGGUGGAAUGCGUAGAUAUCGGGAGGAACACCAGUGGCGAAGGCGGCC
rnacentral:rRNA from 1 species